GAUGAACGCUAGCGGCAGGCUUACUACAUGCAAGUCGAGGGGCAGCACAGGUAGCAAUACUGGGUGGCGACCGGCAAACGCGUGCGGAACACGUACACAACUUACCUUCAGGUGGGGGCUAGCCCCGGGAAACUUGGAGUACUACCCCAUAAUCCAGGGGGCCCGCCUGGGUCUAUUGUUAAAGAUUUAUUGCCUUAAGACGGGUGUGCGUCUGAUGAGGAAGUUGCGGCGAUAAGGGCUCACCAAGCCAACGAGCAGUAACUGGUAUGAAUGCACGACCAGUCACGCGGGCACUGAGACACGGGCCCGAGUCCUACGGGAGGCAGCAGUAAGGAAUCAUGGUCAAUGGACGCAAGUCUGAACCAGCCAUGCCGCGCGAAGGAUUAAGGUCCUCUGGAUUGUAAACUUCUUCUAUCUGGGACGAAAAAAGGCGAUGCUUCGUCACUUGACGGUACCAGAUGAAUAAGCACCGGCUAACUCCGUGCCAGCCGCCGCCGUAAAAC
rnacentral:rRNA from 1 species